GCAUGCUAUCAGAGAGCUCCUUCUGCCUGGGCUGCUCCUUGGGAGGACUAAAACCAGCUGCAUUUCAUGCUACAUGUGGCUUGGCAGGGUAGAUGCAGCAUUGCCAAGAGACUGAGCAGGGUUGUAUCAGAGUCACCUCUUUCAUCUGCAAAGGGUGCUUUGUGUGCAGUCGUGGACAGGGAAGGGAUAUCCUCGUGUGAUGGAGCUCUGAGGGAAGGUGUUGUGGAUGAUGGUGGCCGCUCCUUUC